rnacentral:tRNA from 1 species
CAGAACUUACGGUAUUACCACAUCUCCUGUUUGCAACACAGACAUUUUAAUUAAACUAAAGCUCU